UACAGAGGUCCCAAGCGUUGUUCGGAUUCACUGGGCGUAAAGGGUGCGUAGGCGGUCGGGUAAGUCUGAUGUGAAAUCUCACAGCUUAACUGUGAAACUGCAUUGGAUACAAUCCGGCUAGAGGAAUGGAGGGGAGACUGGAAUACUUGGUGUAGCAGUGAAAUGCGUAGAUAUCAAGUGGAACACCAGUGGCGAAGGCGAGUCUCUGGACAUUUCCUGACGCUGAGGCACGAAAGCCAGGGGAGCAAACGGG
rnacentral:rRNA from 1 species